rnacentral:rRNA from 1 species
UACGUAGGGUGCAAGCGUUGUCCGGAAUUAUUGGGCGUAAAGAGCUUGUGACGGCGUCGUGCGUCUGCUGUGAAAAUCCGGGGCUCAACCCCGGACUUGCAGUGGGUACGGGCAGACUAGAGUUCGGCAGGGGAGACUGGAAUUCCUGGUGUAGCGGUGAAAUGCGCAGAUAUCAGGAGGAACACCGGUGGCGAAGGCGGGUCUCUGGGCCGAUACUGACGCUGAGGAGCGAAAGCGUGGGGAGCGAACAGG